rnacentral:lncRNA from 1 species
UGACGAGGGAAUUUUUCAGGUUUGCUUUCUGGGUUUUUUGCACUGUGCCAGAUACAAAAGGAAAAAAUGAGCUUGUAUAAGACAAUACCUACUUUCAUUCUCUUGCUUUCAGGAUAUUUUUGUAAAAAUACACAGGUUGCUGCAAAUGAAACAUCAACAGAACAAACAUCUUUGCCAUCAAAGGAGACGUCUAGUGUCUCGUCUAGUGUCUCACCUAGUGUCUCAUCUUCCUCCAGUGUCACACAGACUCCUGAACCAGAAACACACGGGAAUGACCAUAUUUCAGGAAAAGAACUCUCCACUUCAUUAGUGGCAGCCCUCAGCAUUUUCUUUGUGCUCUUUUUAUUUUUGUUGUUAUUAGUAUUUGGUGUGCACGAAAAAAGUCAAAGGAGCGAAGAAGAAAUGAAGACAGACAGACAGUGUGAUCACUGCCACGCCAUUUCACCUCAUCUGAAAUAAGACUGUGAAAGCAUCUUGCGGUGAAUUGUCAAAAAUCAACAGGACAGAUUCUGUUCUUUAGCAGUCCUUGCCGAGAAGCAAAGAAUUAAAACAGACACACGCACAGAAUCUUUUUGUCCCAUGAACAUUUCUGCUACUGGAAUCUGAGCGAGGCUGGGUGGCUGGAAGCAACCACAUUGGAGGCAAACUCGAUGCUUUUUGUUGAUAGUGCUUGUUUCUUUGAUAGAAAGACAUGGGUCCUUUGACAGAGAAUUUCAAACCAGUUGUUUGCAAAAGCACUAAGUUCUGUUCUCAGACAUCACUGUAUAAUCAUGUUUUAGUCCUAUUCAAAUACUUGGCCACAUGUGCUCAAGUACAGUAAGAGAGAAGCCCAGAGAGACAUCUGUGUUGUCCAGUUUGGGGACUCCAGUCUGUGUGCAAGAGCAGGGAGUGGUGUAGUCUAACUCAACACCAUUGAUACAAUUUGUGUGAGUUCCCCUUGUAGAGAUAUGUUCUCUUGUGCUCCUCCCUUGCCUCAGUUAACCCCUAAACAUUCUCUUUUUCACCUUGUUUUGCAUAGCCACAAUGUAGCUUUAAUAAGUGAAAUGCCUGGGCUAAGUUUAGUGGAACUACUUUGCAUUCAUAUGGAGUAUACCUGACAGCCAUUCUGCACCUCUAUUUUGAAAAAAAAAGUAAAAUAAAUUUCUGGAGGUCCCUUUACUUAAAAUUUUC